rnacentral:rRNA from 1 species
AAAUUGAAGAGUUUGAUCAUGGCUCAGAUUGAACGCUGGCGGCAGGCCUAACACAUGCAAGUCGAGCGGUAGCACAGAGAGCUUGCUCUCGGGUGACGAGCGGCGGACGGGUGAGUAAUGUCUGGGAAACUGCCUGAUGGAGGGGGAUAACUACUGGAAACGGUAGCUAAUACCGCAUAAUGUCGCAAGACCAAAGUGGGGGACCUUCGGGCCUCAUGCCAUCAGAUGUGCCCAGAUGGGAUUAGCUAGUAGGUGGGGUAACGGCUCACCUAGGCGACGAUCCCUAGCUGGUCUGAGAGGAUGACCAGCCACACUGGAACUGAGACACGGUCCAGACUCCUACGGGAGGCAGCAGUGGGGAAUAUUGCACAAUGGGCGCAAGCCUGAUGCAGCCAUGCCGCGUGUGUGAAGAAGGCCUUCGGGUUGUAAAGCACUUUCAGCGGGGAGGAAGGCGCCAAGGUUAAUAACCUUGGCGAUUGACGUUACCCGCAGAAGAAGCACCGGCUAACUCCGUGCCAGCAGCCGCGG